rnacentral:rRNA from 1 species
GUGUCAGCCGCCGCGGUAAUACGAAAGGGGCUAGCGUUGUUCGGAAUUACUGGGCGUAAAGCGCGCGUAGGCGGCCUUGCAAGUUGGGGGUGAAAUCCCGGAGCUCAACUCCGGAACUGCCUUCAAAACUGCAAAGCUAGAGGAUGCGAGAGGUGAGCGGAAUUCCGAGUGUAGAGGUGAAAUUCGUAGAUAUUCGGAAGAACACCAGUGGCGAAGGCGGCUCACUGGCGCAUUUCUGACGCUGAGGCGCGAAAGCGUGGGUAGCAAACAGGAGUAGAUACCCUGGUAGUCCACGCCGUAAACGAUGAGGGCUAGUUGUCGGGCGGCUGACCGUUCGGUGACGCAGCUAACGCAUUAAGCCCUCCGCCUGGGGAGUACGGUCGCAAGAUUAGAACUUAAAUGAAUUGGCGGGG